rnacentral:rRNA from 1 species
UACGGAGGGUGCAAGCGUUAUCCGGAUUCACUGGGUUUAAAGGGAGCGCAGGCGGACUGGUAAGUCAGUGGUGAAAGCCCUGGGCUCAACCCGGGAACUGCCAUUGAUACUAUCAGUCUUGAAUAUCGUUGAGGUUUGCGGAAUGGGUCAUGUAGCGGUGAAGUGCAUAGAUAUGACCCGGAACACCUAUUGCGAAGGCAGCUCACUACACGAAUAUUGACACUGAGGCACGAAAGCGUGGGGAUCAAACAGG